rnacentral:lncRNA from 1 species
AUGUCUGUCUGUCUGUCUGUCUGUCUAUCUCUCUCCUCUCUCUCUCUCUCUCUCUCUCUCUAUCUCUCUCUCUCUCUCUCUCUCUCUCUCUCUCUCUCUCUCUCUCUCUCUCUCUCUGUGUCUCUCUCUCCUCUCUCUGUCUCUCUGUCUCUCUAUCUCUCUCUGUCUCUGUCUCUCCUCUCUCUCUCUCUCUCUGUCUCUUUCUUUCUGUGUGUGUCUCUCUCUCCUCUCUCUCUCUCUGUCUCUGUGUGUCUCUCUGUCUCUCUCUCUGUGUCUCUCUGUCUCUCCCUCCUCUCUCUCUCUCUCUCUGUGUCUCUCUGUCUCUCUCUCUGUCUGUCUCUCUGUCUCUCUCUCUGUCUCUGUCUCUCUGUCUCUGUCUCUGUCUCUCUCUCUCUGUCUCUCUCUCUCUCUCUCUCUCUCUCUCUCUCUCUCUCUCUCUCUCUCUCUCUAUUUCUCUCCCUCUCUUUCCUGAUGAUCCCUACCCAGACAGGAGGCUAA